CUCCCCUGUGUCCUCUCUAAUCUGCUCCCUCGCGCGCCGUUUGCUGAUGCAGGGAGCCGGAAUAUGUUGUCAUAUUCCAGCUCCCUGCAUCAGUAGACAGCCUGCGCGGCGAGAGGAAGCAGAGAGAUCACAGCUCCCUUGCCGCAUCUGACAGGCACCAGCCCCACUGGACUCCAGGGACAGGUCCACGCCAGGUCUCUUUAAAAAAUGUGAAUAAUUUGUGUGUAUGUGUGUGUCUGAGUGUGUUUGUGUGUGUCUGUUAGUGAGUGUGUGUGUGUGUCUGUGAGUGUAUGUGUCUGUGAGUGUAUGUGUAUGUGUGUGUGUGUGUGUGCACCUGAGUUUGUGUGUCUCUGUGAGUGUGUGUGUGUCUGUGAGGGUAUGUAUGUGUGUGUAUCUGUGUGUUUGUCUGUGUGUGCGUGUGUCUGUG